rnacentral:lncRNA from 1 species
AAGACUAAAAAGUAGCAAAACCAGCAGUACAAAAUCUAUUUAACUAGGUGUUUUCCUACGCCAUAUGCAGAAAUUGUUUUUUUUUUUUUUUAUCAUCAGACUAAAUAGACUCAUACUGACUCUGCAAACCAAACUGGUAGCUAUGCAUUCAUAUGAACGACGAAAGACUGUUGUUUUUUGGCAUUGCGUGCUAGACUAUCCGCCUGUAAAUUCUUCGUUCGGGAUACAUGAAUGAUCUUUGAGCUGAGGAAACUUGUCUUCAAAAUUUUUAUGUCUUCCAGAUAACUUUCAAACGCUGGCCAUUCUUCUGGUUUCGAAACUAUCUUCACCAAUUGAGAACAAUCCGUAGCAAACAUGGCCUGAAACUAACGUAAAUUUCUCAUACACUCCAUUGCCCAUAUCAGCGCUUCCAUCUCCGAGUGAAG